CCGAAAACGCUUGGGAAGACCGCAUGAUCUUCCAAGGAAAGGGUGGCCUCUACCUGUAAGCUAUCGCCUGAAGAGGGGUUUGCGUCUGAUUAGGCAGUUGGUGAGGUAACGGCCCACCAAACCUACGAUCAGUAGCCGGUCUGAGAGGAUGAACGGCCACACUGGAACUGAGACACGGUCCAGACUCCUACGGGAGGCAGCAGUGGGGAAUCUUCCGCAAUGGGCGAAAGCCUGACGGAGCAACGCCGCGUGAGUGAUGACGGCCUUCGGGUUGUAAAGCUCUGUGAUCGGGGACGAACGGUCCGUAAGCCAAUACCUUAUGGAAGUGACGGUACCCGAAUAGCAAGCCACGGCUAACUACGUGCCAGCAGCCGCGGUAAUACGUAGGUGGCAAGCGUUGUCCGGAAUUAUUGGGCGUAAAGCGCGCGCAGGCGGCUUUCUAAGUCCAUCUUAAAAGUGCGGGGCUUAACCCCGUGAUGGGAUGGAAACUGGAAAGCUGGAGUAUCGGAGAGGAAAGUGGAAUUCCUAGUGUAGCGGUGAAAUGCGUAGAGAUUAGGAAGAACACCGGUGGCGAAGGCGAUUUUCUGGACGACAACUGACGCUGAGGCGCGAAAGCGUGGGGAG
rnacentral:rRNA from 1 species